CCUACGGGAGGCAGCAGUGAGGAAUAUUGGUCAAUGGGCGGAAGCCUGAACCAGCCAAGCCGCGUGAGGGAAGAAGGUACAGCGUAUCGUACACCUCUUUUGUCAGGGAACAAAGGCGGGGACUAGUCCCCGGCUGAGGGUACCUGAAGAAAAAGCAUCGGCUAACUCCGUGCCAGCCGCCGCGGUAAUACGGAGGAUGCGAGCGGUAUCCGGAUUUAUUGGGUUUAAAGGGUGCGUAGGCGGCCUGUUAAGGCAGCGGUAAAAGCCCGGGGCUCAACCCCGGCGAGCCGUUGAAACUGGCGGGCUGGAGUUGGAGAGAAGUACGCGGAAUGCGCGGUGUAGCGGUGAAAUGCUUAGAUAUCGCGCAGAACCCCGAUUGCGAAGGCAGCGUACCGGCUCCACACUGACGCUGAGGCACGAAAGCGUGGGUAUCGAACAGGAUUAGAUACCCCUGUAGUC
rnacentral:rRNA from 1 species